AAGGUCGUAUCCUUUGUUUUCAUACGAAAUGCAAUGAUAUUACGUAAUGACGAGGGUACAUAACAAGUAGAUACGCACCUUUACGAUGUACAUUUAUUGAAAACCUAUUAAAUUUUAUUUAUGUUCCCAAUAACUGAAAAACCAUAAUUAAAAGGAAGGUAAUGUCGAAGAUGAUGAAGGUAAUGGUUAAUAGUUAUUAAAAAUAAAAUGACUUCAUUACAAAAUAUAUACAUUCCAUUCAGUAAGCUGAAAAUCAAAUACAAUAGUCGAAUUUAACCGUUCGAACAAAAUUGUUUAAGAGAAGCUCUACAAUGGACUACGUGAAAUAAAUUAUUUAAAAAAAAGGA